rnacentral:rRNA from 1 species
UACAGAGGGGGCAAGCGUUAUUCGGAAUUAUUGGGCGUAAAGGGCGCGUAGGCGGCCUGACAAGUGGAAGGUGAAAUCCCUCGGCUUAACCGAGGAACUGCCUUCCAAACUGUUUGGCUUGAGUCCGGGAGAGGCGAGUGGAAUUCCCAGUGUAGCGGUGAAAUGCGUAGAUAUGUGGAGGAAUACCGAUGGCGAAGGCAGCCUCCUGGGCCAACACUGACGCUCAUGCACGAAAGCGUGGGGAGCAAACAGG